AUGAACGCUGGCGGCGUGCCUAAUACAUGCCAGUCGAGCGAACGGACGAGAAGCUUGCUUCUCUGAUGUUAGCGGCGGACGGGUGAGUAACACGUGGAUAACCUACCUAUAAGACUGGGAUAACUUCGGGAAACCGUAGCUAAUACCGGAUAAUAUUUUGAACCGCAUGGUUCAAAAGUGAAAGACGGUCUUGCUGUCACUUAUAGAUGGAUCCGCGCUGCAUUAGCUAGUUGGUAAGGUAACGGCUUACCAAGGCAACGAUGCAUAGCCGACCUGAGAGGGUGAUCGGCCACACUGGAACUGAGACACGGUCCAGACUCCUACGGGAGGCAGCAGUAGGGAAUCCUCCGCAAUGGGCGAAAGCCUGACGGAGCAACGCCGCGUGAGUGAUGAAGGUCUUCGGAUCGUAAAACUCUGUUAUUAGGGAAGAACAUAUGUGUAAGUAACUGUGCACAUCUUGACGGUACCUAAUCAGAAAGCCACGGCUAACUACGUG
rnacentral:rRNA from 1 species